rnacentral:rRNA from 1 species
UGCCUACGGGGGGCAGCAGUGGGGAAUAUUGGACAAUGGGCGAAAGCCUGAUCCAGCAAUGCCGCGUGAGUGAUGAAGGCCUUCGGGUUGUAAAGCUCUUUUGCCAGGGACGAUGAUGACGGUACCUGGAGAAUAAGCCCCGGCUAACUUCGUGCCAGCAGCCGCGGUAAUACGAAGGGGGCAAGCGUUGUUCGGAAUUACUGGGCGUAAAGGGCGCGUAGGCGGCUUAUCAAGUCAGGCGUGAAAUUCCCGGGCUCAACCUGGGGGCUGCGCUUGAUACUGAUGAGCUUGAAUGCGGGAGAGGGUAGUGGAAUUCCCAGUGUAGAGGUGAAAUUCGUAGAUAUUGGGAAGAACACCGGUGGCGAAGGCGGCUAUCUGGCCCGUAAUUGACGCUGAGGCGCGAAAGCGUGGGGAGCAAACAGGAUUAGAUACCCUAGUAGUC